GACGAACCGUCCAAACGUUAUUCGGAAUCACUGGGCUUAAAGGGUGCGUAGGCGGAGAGGCAAGUCAGAGGUGAAAGCCCACGGCUCAACCGUGUAAUUGCCCCUGAAACGGUCUCUCUCGAGCGAGAUAGAGGCGUGCGGAACUCGGAGUGGAGCGGUGAAAUGCGUAGAUAUUCUGAGGAACACCGGUGGCGAAAGCGGCACGCUGGGUCUUUGCUGACGCUGAGGGACGAAAGCUAGGGGAGCAUACGGG
rnacentral:rRNA from 1 species